AGAUUGAACGCUGGCGGCAUGCCUAACACAUGCAAGUCGCACGGGCGGGGGCAACCCUGUCAGUGGCGGACGGGUGAGUAACGCGUAGGUAUCUAUCCUUGGGUGGGGGACAACUGUGGGAAACUACAGCUAAUACCGCAUGAUGACCGAGGUCCAAAGCUCGCGAGAGCGCCUGGGGAGGAGCCUGCGUACGAUUAGCUAGUUGGUGGGGUAAAGGCCUACCAAGGCGACGAUCGUUAGCUGGUCUGAGAGGAUGAUCAGCCACAUUGGGACUGAGACACGGCCCAAACUCCUACGGGAGGCAGCAGUGGGGAAUAUUGGACAAUGGGCGAAAGCCUGAUCCAGCAAUGCCGCGUGUGUGAAGAAGGUCUUCGGAUUGUAAAGCACUUUCGACGGGGACGAUGAUGACGGUACCGUAGAAGAAGCCCGGCUAACUUCGCGCCAGCAGCCGC
rnacentral:rRNA from 1 species